UACGUAGGGUGCGAGCGUUGUCCGGAAUUAUUGGGCGUAAAGAGCUUGUAGGCGGUCUGUCGCGUCUGCUGUGAAAAUCCGGGGCUCAACCCCGGACUUGCAGUGGGUACGGGCAGACUAGAGUGUGGUAGGGGAGACUGGAAUUCCUGGUGUAGCGGUGAAAUGCGCAGAUAUCAGGAGGGAACACCGAUGGCGAAGGC
rnacentral:rRNA from 1 species